rnacentral:ncRNA from 1 species
AAAAGAUUUUAUUCUAGUUUUGAAUUUAUGUAGAUUUUUAAUUUAAAUGUAAAAUUUUAAUUAAAGAAUAGGGAUGCAAUAUUUAGUAUUAAUAAUAUUUUAAUGAAUGAAUUAGUAAUAAAUUUUUAUUCUAACAAAGUUUGUGCCAGCAGUUGCGGUUAUACAAUCAGGGUUAUUUAAAUAUUUAAGGGUUGAGUUAAAUUAGUCAAAGGGUAUAAAAAUAGUUUUUAAAGGUGAAAUUUUUCAUUAAGUUAUUUCUUUUGUUUAUUGGUUGAGGCUCAGAAAUUUAAGAUUUAAACUAGGAUUAGAUACCCUAUUAUUUUAAAUGUGAAGUAUUCCCUUAUUAUUAGUAGUUAUGGUCUAUAAAAUAAAAGAUUUUGGCGGUAUUUAAUCUAUUCAGAGGAACCUGUUCUAUAAAUGAUAAUCCACGGUUUGAGGGUCUUAUGUUUGAAAAUUUGUAUAUCGUCGUUGUUGAAUAUUUUAUAAGGUAUGUUCAUGUUUUUUAUUAAAGUUUAAAUCAGAUCAAGGUGCAGUUUAUAUAUAAGAGGUAAUGGGUUACAAUAAAAUUAUUUAUGGAUUUUUAAUUUGAAAUUUUUUUGAAAAUGGAUUUGAUAGUAAUAAUUUUUAUUUAAAAUUAUGAUUGAGCUCUAAAAUAUGCACAUAUCGCCCGUCGCUCUCAUUAAAGUGAGAUAAGUCGUAACAAAGUAGUCUUACUGGAAAGUGUGUCUAGAUUUUC